GCCGACAUAGUAUAAUGGUAAUACAGGGCAAUGGUAAUGCUCAGCUCGCAGUUCAAUUCUGCGUGUCGGCA
rnacentral:tRNA from 2 species